GGAAGAGUACCCAAGAGGCUAAAGGGGACGGACUGUAAAUCCGUUAGCUAAGCUUUCACUGGUUCGAAUCCAGUCUCUUCCACCA
rnacentral:tRNA from 4 species